rnacentral:rRNA from 1 species
AAAUAAUGCUGGGGUACGAUGCGGAGCGAAAUUUAGUAGCGAAGUAGCUGAUUUCACACUGUCGAGAAAAGUCUCUAUCGAGGUUAAAGGUGCCUGUACCGCAAACCGACACAGGUGGGUGAGGAGAGUAUCCUAAGGCCAGCGAGAGAACUGUUGUUAAGGAACUCGGCAAAAUGACCCCGUAACUUCGGGAGAAGGGGUGCCUUCGAAAGAAGGCCGCAGAGAAUAGGCCCAAGCGACUGUUUACCAAAAACAUAGGUUUCUGCUAAGUCGCAAGACGAUGUAUAGGAGCUGACGCCUGCCCGGUGCUGGAAGGUUAAGGGGAUCUGUUAGAGCAAUCGAAGCAGUGAACUUAAGCCCCAGUAAACGGCGGCCGUAACAAUAACGGUCCUAAGGUAGCGAAAUUCCUUGUCGGGUAAGUUCCGACCCGCACGAAAGGCGUAACGAUUUGGGCACUGUCUCAACAACAGACUCGGUGAAAUUGUAAUACCGGUGAAGAUGCCGGUUACCUGCGACAGGACGGAAAGACCCCAUGGAGCUUUACUGUAGCUUGACAUUGAGUCUCGGUGCUACAUGUACAGGAUAGGUGGGAGACUAUGAAGCAUGGACGUCAGUCUGUGUGGAGUCAUCCUUGGGAUACCACCCUUGUAGUACUGGGAUUCUAACCAGAGGCCAUGAAUCUGGUCUUGGGACACUGUCAGGUGGACAGUUUGACUGGGGCGGUCGCCUCCCAAAAAGUAACGGAGGCGCUCAAAGGUUCUCUCAGUACGGUCGGAAAUCGUACGAAGAGUGUAAAGGCAAAAGAGAGCUUGAUUGCAAGACAUACAGGUCGAGCAAGGACGAAAGUCGGACUUAGUGAUCCGGUGGUUCCGCAUGGAAGGGCCAUCGCUCAACGGAUAAAAGCUACCCUGGGGAUAACAGGCUGAUCUCCCCCAAGAGUCCACAUCGACGGGGAGGUUUGGCACCUCGAUGUCGGCUCAUCACAUCCUGGGGCUGUAGUAGGUCCCAAGGGUUGGGCUGUUCGCCCAUUAAAGUGGUACCCGAGCUGGGUUCAGAACGUCGUGAGACAGUUCGGUCCCUAUCCGUCGCAGGCGUAGGAAAUUUGAGGAGACCUGUCCUUAGUACGAGAGGACCGGGAUGGACGUACCGCUGGUGUACCAGUUGUUCUGCCAAGGGCAUGGCUGGGUAGCUAAGUACGGAAAGGAUAAGCGCUGAAAGCAUCUAAGCGCGAAGCCCACUUCAAGAUAAGAUUUCCCACCGCAAGGUUAAGAUCCCAGGAAGACUACCUGGUUGAUAGGUCAGAGGUGUAAGUGCAGUAAUGUAUUUAGCUUACUGAUACUAAUAGAUCGAGGACUUGACC